rnacentral:rRNA from 1 species
GUAGGUGGCAAGCGUUGUCCGGAAUUAUUGGGCGUAAAGCGCGCGCAGGCGAUUCUUUAAGUCUGAGGUGAAAGCCCACGGCUCAACCGUGGAGGGUCAUUGGAAACUGGAGAACUUGAGUACAGAAGAGGAAAGCGGAAUUCCACGUGUAGCGGUGAAAUGCGUAGAGAUGUGGAGGAACACCAGUGGCGAAGGCGGCUUUCUGGUCUGUAACUGACGCUGAGGCGCGAAAGCGUGGGGAGCAAACAGGAUUAGAUACCCUGGUAGUCCACGCCGUAAACGAUGAGUGCUAAGUGUUAGGGGGGUUUCCGCCCCCCUUAGUGCUGCAGCUAACGCAUUAAGCACUCCGCCUGGGAGUACGGCCGCAAGGCUG